GGUGGUAACAGCGGUAACAGCGGUAGUAACAGCGGUAACAGUGGCAGUAACAGCGGAAACAGCGGUAGUAACAGCGGUAAUAGCGGUAGUAACAGCGGUAACAGCG